GUUUUUAUAGUUCUUGAAGGUAAUACUUUAGCAAUAUAGCUGUACAGUAAUAUGAAAUGAUAACUUAACCACUCUCCUAUUACAUUUACCAGGUAGUCAUAAGCUAAUACAAUUGUGUUGUCAUUGAAUUUCUAACUGUCACAUCGUAUUCAUAUGCCAUACUUCAGUUACUUGGCAGGCAUUGUAUUUAUUUCUUCAUGGGAAUUCACACCGUUAAACUGUCAGAACACAACACUAACACAAAGAGAGGAUUCUUAUUUUUCAGGGAGAGAUAAUUUUGCUUUAUUCUGUACAAAUUUAUUGCCUUCAGUUGUUCGGGUGUGAAUUAUUAAAGUGUAAUGAUUUUAACUUCUUGAAAUAAAACAAAAUUUGUGGCACAGUUGGUGUAGGUACUGUAGAUAGAUAGGUUGAAUGUAUUGGUCUUUUUAAUUUGUUUUCUUAUUAAUAUUUUUUUUUCUCCAGGAUUUGUGGGCUUUUUCAAUACCAUCAUUCUGUGGCCCGGGUUCCCCCUGUUGGAUGUUUUUGGAUGGGAGACAUUUUAGUUGCCAAAUCUGCAACACCUGUUCUACAUGUCUGUUAAUGGCUUAGUAGGAACUGUCCUGUCUGAACUUCUUUGGCUUUGGGGAUGCUUCCUUACUUCAUCAUUGAUGGCUACUUUAUCUUUGAGCUUAACUAUUCCCUUGACAAUGUUUGUGGACAUCUGGCUCAAGGGCAUCAAGUAUUCACUGCUAAUUUAUAUUGGUGCAAUUCCCAUGAUGACAUCUUUUAUUGCUGUCUCACUUCUCACACAUUAUGAAAGCUGGGACCCAUUGAUGGAUGGAAUGAAAUAUCUUCAUAGAAAGUGUUGGAGAAGAAACCACAUGUACAGGUAAAUUUAACUUUAUAUAAUUUUCUUUGUAGUUGAAGCUGAUGGUAUACAAUAUUAAAGAAAUAUAAAUUUUGAAUUACAGUAUAGAUAAUAGAUGUACACUUAAGUUAUAUUUUUUCUCCAGAUCUUGUAGAAAAUAUGAUAAGUUUUUGUCUCGUAAAUGUUAUAUUGCUUUUAAUUUCUGCAUAUUGGCAUCCAUCCAAGUGUUUGCCUUGGAUGAAUCUGUAUACUGUACAGGGGCCCCUGAAUAAUGAACGGGUUACAUUUCAGGACCUGUUCAUAAGUUGAUUUAUUCAUAACUCAGAACCUUGUUAAUAACGCAAAAUAAAAUAUGAAUAAAACACCCAUCCUUAUCUGUCAAAUCAUAAAAUUUAUAAUGCCAUAAGUAACAAAUAAUGUAUGGAGGUGUGCUGCUGAACAAAGUAGUUUUACCUUGGGAAGUACAGUACCAGUGAUUUUAUUAUGAGUAGUAUUAGGAUCACAAUAAUUCCAUGCUUGUUGUUUGACAUCAUAAGAUGGGUGUACAGUAGGGAGAUGGUGAUGGUUAGUUGUUGAUCGGUGGUAAAGAGAAUACGACAUGCACGAUUCUCAAUAAAUCAUUUCUUACCAUAUUUUAUGUUAUGUACAGUACAGUACUCUUGUGAAUGCAGUACUCUACUGCUGUGACGCCAUCGUGGAUGAAAAUAGGCAUACGUACUAUAGUUAAAAAAGUCAAUCUUUGCGAUGUUCAGACCCUAGCCCUCUUUCCCAUAAGAAGUUCAGUAAAGAAUGAUUCACAACUAAUUGAGGUUUCAGGAACCUAAUAUCAUUCUUUAUCGAGGGUCCAGUAAUGUAUAUUGACACCAGUGUAAUUCAUAAGUUGCUUGGCUAUCUAAAUACGUAUCGUCAAUUUAUUGUCAAACGACAUUUCUAAUAGUAUUACUCGUAACAGAAUAUGUACCAUUGUUGCCACAUGGUACAGUAUCUGAAUUUUAAAUAGUUUUAUAGUGGUUUGAUAACAAAGGUUUAAAGUACAUUAUAUAAAGGAUCAACAAACCAUCCUUCUCCCUUAUCUCAGUAUGUUUAUCGCUUCUCUGUGCUUGUUUGAGAAGAAAAGAAAUCAUUACAAUACUCUAAUGUGGCUUAGAAAUAAAGAAAUUAUAAAACUAAAAAAAAAAAAA